rnacentral:rRNA from 1 species
GACGAACGCUGGCGGCGUGCCUAACACAUGCAAGUCGAACGGAGUUGAAAGGAGCUUGCUUUUUUCAACUUAGUGGCGGACGGGUGAGUAACGCGUGAGUAACCUGCCUUUCAGAGGGGGAUAACGUUCUGAAAAGAACGCUAAUACCGCAUAAGCCCACAGCUCGGCAUCGAGCAGAGGGAAAAGGAGUGAUCCGCUUUGAGAUGGCCUCGCGUCCGAUUAGCUAGUUGGUGAGGUAACGGCCCACCAAGGCAACGAUCGGUAGCCGGACUGAGAGGUUGAACGGCCACAUUGGGACUGAGACACGGCCCAG